rnacentral:rRNA from 1 species
CCCUAGUAGCGGCGAGCGAAGCGGGAAGAGCUCAAAUUUAUAAUCUGGCACCUUCGGUGUCCGAGUUGUAAUCUCUAGAAGUGUUUUCCGCGUUGGACCGCACACAAGUCUGUUGGAAUACAGCGGCACAGUGGUGAUACCCCCGUACACGGUGCGGACGCCCAGCGCUUUGUGAUACACUUUCAAUGAGUCGAGUUGUUUGGGAAUGCAGCUCAAAUUGGGUGGUAAAUUCCAUCUAAAGCUAAAUAUUGGCGAGAGACCGAUAGCGAACAAGUACCGUGAGGGAAAGAUGAAAAGCACUUUGGAAAGAGAGUUAACAGUACGUGAAAUUGUUGGAAGGGAAACGCUUGAAGUCAGACUUGCUUGCCGGAGCUUGCUUCGGUUUGCAGGCCAGCAUCAGUUUUCCGGGGUGGAUAAUGGUGGGUUUGAAGGUAGCAGCCUCGGCUGUGUUAUAGCUUUCCACUGGAUACAUCCUGGGGGACUGAGGAACGCAACGUGCUUUUUGCGAAGGUUUCGACCUUUUCACGCUUACGAUGCNGUGUAAUGACUUUAAACGACCCGUCU